AGGCAACUAUGGUGAAAGUGGGAUGGAAGCAUUCAAGGACAUGGCAGCUAAGGAGGGCAUCUGUAUCGCCCACUCUGGCAAAAUCUGGAGCAAUGCUGGAGAGCAGAGCUUUGAUCGGCUGCUGGAGCGGCUGCGGGCCCAUCUGCCCAAAGCCCGGGUGGUGGCUUGUUUCUGUGAAGGCAUGACUGUCCGCAACAUCCUCAUGGCCAUGAGACGCCAGGGACUGGUGGGAGAGUUCCUGCUCAUCGGCAGUGGAUGGAUGGGGCCGACCGGUAUGAUGUAACAGAUGGUUUUGUUAGGGAAGCAGCAGGUGGCAUUACCAUCAAGCUCCAGUCGGCUGAUGUGAAAAUGGUUUGAUGAUUACUACCUUAAACUUCGUCCUGAAAACAACCCCAGAAACCCCUGGUUUCCAGAGUUCUGGCAGCAUCGUUUCCACUGUCGACUUAAAGGUCACCCGCAGGAGAACAACAAAUUCAACCGCAACCUGUGGCAAGCGAGAGUCGCUUCGGCACAGUAUGCACAGGACAGCCAAGAUGGGGGUUUGUCAUAAAUGCCAUCUACUCAAUUGCAUAUGGCCUGCAUAACAUGCAACGGGCACUCUGCCCAGGCUAUCAGGGCCUGUGUGAUGCCAUGCGACCUAUAGAUGGUUCUAUGCUGCUAGACUUCUUGAUGAAAACCAACUUCACCGGAGUGUCAGGAGAGGGAAUCUUAUUUGAUAAGAAUGGAGACUCGCCUGGCAGGUACGAAAUAAUGAACUUCAAGAAGAUGGGGAAGGACUACUAUGACUAUAUUAAAUGUUGGCAGUUGGGACAACAGAGGCUUGAAGAUAGAUGAUGAUGAAAUCUGGCCCAACAAGGAAGGCAUCAUCAAGUCAGUCUGCAGUGAACCCUGUGACAAAGCACAGAUAAAGGUGAUCCGUAAAGGGGAGGUGAGCUGCUGCUGGACGUGCACUCCCUGUAAAGAAAAUGAGUUUGUGUUCGACGAGUACACCUGCCGAGCCUGUGAACUGGGCUCCUGGCCGACCUUUGACCUCACAGGUCAGUCUCUGUGUGUUUCU